rnacentral:rRNA from 1 species
UACGUAGGGGGCAAGCGUUGUCCGGAUCUAUUGGGCGUAAAGAGCGUGUAGGCGGCCAAGCAGGUCCGCUGUGAAAACUCGAGGCUCAACCUCGAGAGGUCGGUGGAAACCGUUUGGCUAGAGUCCGGAAGAGGAGAGUGGAAUUCCCGGUGUAGCGGUGAAAUGCGCAGAUAUCGGGAAGAACACCCGUGGCGAAGGCGGCUCUCUGGGACGGUACUGACGCUGAGACGCGAAAGCGUGGGGAGCGAACAGG